UACGUAGGGGGCAAGCGUUGUCCGGAUUUAUUGGGCGUAAAGAGCUCGUAGGCGGCUCAGUAAGUCAGGUGUGAAAACUCCAGGCUCAACCUGGAGACGCCACUUGAUAUUGCUGUGGCUAGAGUCCGGUAGGGGAGCAUGGAAUUCCAGGUGUAGCGGUGAAAUGCGUAGAUAUCUGGAGGAAUACCGGUGGCGAAGGCGGCAUCCUGGACCGGCAUUGACGCUGAUGAGCGAAAGCUAGGGGAGCAAACGGG
rnacentral:rRNA from 1 species